UACAGGGGGUGCUAGCGUUGUUCGGAAUUACUGGGCGUAAAGGGCGCGUAGGCGGUUUCGCAAGUCAGAGGUGAAAUCCCGGAGCUUAACUCCGGAAUUGCUUCUGAUACUGUGAGGCUAGAGUGUAUUAGAGGAUGGCGGAAUUCCUAGUGUAGUGGUGAAAUACGUAGAUAUUAGGAAGAACACCGGUGGCGAAGGCGGCCAUCUGGGAUACAACUGACGCUGAGGCGCGAAAGCGUGGGGAGCAAACAGG
rnacentral:rRNA from 1 species